UAGGGAAUCUUCCACAAUGGACGCAAGUCUGAUGGAGCAACGCCGCGUGAGUGAAGAAGGUUUUCGGAUCGUAAAGCUCUGUUUUUGGUGAAGAAGGAUAGAGGCAGUAACUGUUUUUUAUUUGACGGUAAUCAACCAGAAAGUCACGGCUAACUACGUGCCAGCAGCCGCGGUAAUACGUAGGUGGCAAGCGUUGUCCGGAUUUAUUGGGCGUAAAGCGAGCGCAGGCGGAAUGAUAAGUCUGAUGUGAAAGCCCACGGCUCAACCGUGGAACUGCAUCGGAAACUGUCAUUCUUGAGUGCAGAAGAGGAGAGUGGAAUUCCAUGUGUAGCGGUGGAAUGCGUAGAUAUAUGGAAGAACACCAGUGGCGAAGGCGGCUCUCUGGUCUGCAACUGACGCUGAGGCUCGAAAGCAUGGGUAGCGAACAGG
rnacentral:rRNA from 1 species